AUCCAAGGAAGGCAGCAGGCGCGCAAAUUACCCAUUCCCGACGCGGGGAGGUAGUGACGAAAAAUAACAAUGCAGGACUCGUUCGAGGCCCUGUAAUUGGAAUGAGUACACUUUAAAAGCUUUAACGAGUAUCCAUUGGAGGGCAAGUCUGGUGCCAGCAGCCGCGGUAAUUCCAGCUCCAAAAGUAUAUAUUUAAGUUGUUGCGGUUAAAAAGCUCGUAGUUGGAUUUUGGGCGCAGGCGGCCGGUCCGUCGCAAGGCGUGUACUGGACGUCCUGGCCUUCCCUCCGGUUCUCCGCCGGUGCUCUUGACUGAGUGUCGGCGGCGGCCGGAACGUUUACUUUGAAAAAAUUAGAGUGUUCAAAGCAGGCUCUCGAGCCUGGAUAAUGGUGCAUGGAAUAAUGGAAUAGGACCUCGGUUCUAUUUUGUUGGUUUUCGGAGCGCGAGGUAAUGAUUAAGAGGGACAGACGGGGGCAUUCGUACUGUGCCGUUAGAGGUGAAAUUCUUGGAUCGGCGCAAGACGAACGACUGCGAAAGCAUUUGCCAAGAAUGUUUUCUUUAAUCAAGAGCGAAAGUCAGAGGUUCGAAGACGAUCAGAUACCGUCCUAGUUCUGACUAUAAACGAUGCCAACUAGCGAUCGGGGGGCGUUACAUUGACGACCCCUCCGGCAGCUUACGGGAAACCAAAGUCUUUGGGUUCCGGGGGAAGUAUGGUUGCAAAGCUGAAACUUAAAGGAAUUGACGGAAGGGCACCACCAGGAGUGGAGCCUGCGGCUUAAUUUGACUCAACACGGGAAAUCUCACCCGGCCCGGACACAGUGAGGAUUGACAGAUUGAGAGCUCUUUCUUGAUUCUGUGGGUGGUGGUGCAUGGCCGUUCUUAGUUGGUGGAGCGAUUUGUCUGGUUAAUUCCGAUAACGAACGAGACUCUGGCUUGCUAAAUAGUUACGCGACCAUCCCGGUCGGCGUUUAACUUCUUAGAGGGACAAGGGCAAUUAGCCACACGAGAUUGAG
rnacentral:ncRNA from 1 species